GGCCGAACAGGGAGGAUGUCUGUACUCAGAUAUUGCCUCCUUUGGAGUGUUGGGUGGAAUGACUACUCUGCUGAGAUGAGCUCUUAAUUAAUGCACAGAGAUCCUGAAAGUCCCACCUCUCACCAGUAAUGAUUGACGUCCAAGGAUACAUAAAUUACACUAAUUGAGCUUUCUAUUUCUACGUUCUUCUGCAGCUAACUCAUCAGAAAAGCUGUGCUGCAGAAGUAGGGAAAAGCAAGCACCAAGACAAGACUGCAAAGGGCAUGACAGGAGACUACAGCUGGAAAGCGAUCCUUCACAAAUGAGGAGAUUCAACUUGCUAUGGUGGGAGUCAACAAGAGUCUCCUUCAUUUAGAUAACAUGAACAAAAACACCCAACACCUUCUUCAUCAGCACUUAAAACAGCGCAUGUUUCAUCACACUGUUGUCAUCUUGGCUGCAAUAUCUGGAUUAUAUUUUCCCUUUCUUUAAAUUAAGUGUUGCAGGUGAAUAUUGGCUUCAAAUACUACAGUAGCAUUUUUUCUAGUUAUGUAAUGUCUGUUACUAUAAUGUUAGCUUUGUUUAGCUAGUUUUAAACUGAUCUGUAAAAUUAUUUACGGCCGUCAUUCCUAGUUACAUCCCCAGUGAAUUUCUGUUAUCUCAGGAGAUUCAGGGAUGUUCAGUUCAACUGCAUGUUCAGUUCACCUUCACCAGGUGAAGGGCAUUGUGUCAUUGUGAACCUCAUCUUUUCACAGCAUUCCAUUUCAAAUUUUGGAGAGAAAUGAAGAACGUUCUAAGUAACAGCAUAGGCAGAUAUUACGUUCUUUAUUUGUGACUUUGGGAAUAAAUUGCAGUGUGGGAAAAGUGGCUGAAAAUAUGGAUAAAAGUCGAAUGCAGGAUUAUUGUAGACCCUGUCAAAAUAAAUGGGAGAAUAUUUUUUAGUAUGUAAUUAAAUGUCAAGAUUUGUGAGUUAAUGGAAUUUCUGUAGUCACAUCAAGGUCAGACGAGCAAUUACUGUUUAUGAAUUAUCUGAAAUCUUGUAUAGCCUCUUCUAGCUAGUCUUAGAGCAUCUAUUUAUAUUAGACAUCUUUGCCAUUUCUGAUGUUCCUCCCCCAUCGUUUCUGUUAACAGCAGUGUGGUGCAUUUUGUCAAUUCUGUACUUGUUUGCAAAACCUUCUUUUAUUUCACUGAAGAGCUUGCAAUUAGCCCACUUCUCCCUAUUGAGAAGCAUCUUUGUAAUAACAGCUUUCCUGGCAGAGCUUUUGUUAGGCAGAUUUUAAAAUCAAGAGUCUACAAAGGUUGGGAAAAAUCCAAUCACACAAAAGUUCAGUAAAUCCCUUUCAAGGUCAUAUCAGUUAAGAUUACGUAGAUUUUACACUUCAGCAAACAUUAGAGUUCAGCUUUUCUAGGGACAUAUUCAGAGGGCUAGAAUUAAUA